UGGGGAAUAUUGGACAAUGGGCGAAAGCCUGAUCCAGCCAUGCCGCGUGUGUGAAGAAGGUCUUCGGAUUGUAAAGCACUUAAAGUUGGGAGGAAGGGCAGUAAGCGAAUACCUUGCUGUUUUGACGUUACCGACAGAAUAAGCACCGGCUAACUCUGUGCCAGCAUCCGCGGUAAUACAGAGGGUGCAAGCGUUAAUCGGAAUUACUGGGCGUAAAGCGCGCGUAGGUGGUUCGUUAAGUUGAAUGUGAAAGCCCCGGGCUCAACCUGGGAACUGCAUCCAAAACUGGCGAGCUAGAGUAGGGCAGAGGGUGGUGGAAUUUCCUGUGUAGCGGUGAAAUGCGUAGAUAUAGGAAGGAACACCAGUGGCGAAGGCGACCACCUGGGCUCAUACUGACACUGAGGUGCGAAAGCGUGGGGAGCAAACAGG
rnacentral:rRNA from 1 species